rnacentral:rRNA from 1 species
UACGAAGGGUGCAAACGUUGCUCGGAAUUAUUGGGCGUAAAGCGCACGUAGGCGGCUUGGCAAGUCGGAUGUGAAAUCCCUCGGCUCAACCAAGGAAGUGCAUCCGAAACUGCCGAGCUUGAGUACUUAAGAGGAUCGCGGAAUUCCCGGUGUAGAGGUGAAAUUCGUAGAUAUCGGGAGGAACACCAGUGGCGAAGGCGGCGAUCUGGGAAGAUACUGACGCUGAGGCACGAAAGCGUGGGUAGCAAACAGG